rnacentral:piRNA from 1 species
UACCAGGCAUUGGAGUCAUGCACUUCACAC